rnacentral:misc_RNA from 1 species
ACUUUCCACGUGAACCGUAUCAAAACUUAGUUGGGGGUCUCUUUCGGCGGCGGCUGCUGGCUUCAUUGCUGGCGGCUGCUGUUGGGAGAGCUCUAUCAUGGCGAGCGUUUGGGCUUCGGUC